AAGUGGGUAAAUGCAAUAAAGCGGGGAAAAUUGACUGCUUCCCAAUUAAAAAUAUUCCGAGUAUGUUCUAAACAUUUUAUGACAGGACGCCCUGCUGACAUAAACAAUUAUACUGAUCCAGAUUGGGCACCAUGUCAAAAUCUUGGGUAUGAGAAGGGAGUUUCUAUUAAAAAUAGAACGGAUCUUGAUAAGUAUCACCGUUCCGAAAAAAGGGUAUUUGUAGCAAAAAUAAUAAUAAUAAUUUCAAUUAAACUUAUUAUCUAAUUAUUAUGAAGGGUACCCAGUAAGAAGAGGUUAAUUGAUAC